rnacentral:tRNA from 4 species
GCCCUCGUAGCUCAGUCGGAUAGAGCAACCGCCUCCUAAGCGGUAGGUCGCAGGUUCGAAUCCUGCCGAGGGCGCCA